UUUGAUAAGCUGUGAUUCUGGAGUUGGAUUUUGCACAACUCAUGAGAGGCAGAGAGGGCCCAGAGUUUGAACAGUGUGAGAGUGAUGGGAGUGAGGUACAGCUCUGCCCAGCUUCCUCCUCUCAUGUUUCAUGUCGGUGCCAUUUUCCCCACAUUACUUAACUUGCAAUUGCCAUUCUAAGCUACAAGUUUAGUUCCCGCACUCAUUCAUUAUCCAUCCUUUUCAUGUGAUGCAAUUAUUUACUCUCUAAAUACAUUUCAUUCCUGCUUGGACUUUGCUGUUUAUCAUUUGCAUUUAUUUUUUGUUGGUCUUCAAAAAAGUGUCCAUCCUUUCUAUGUAUUCUCUCUUCCCUUAAAGCCCUUCUGUGUUUUGUCACAGCUAUUAUUGCUGCAUUCAGUGGUAAUUUAUUACCUAAGUAGAAAACUUGCCUAUUUUUCUUGUCAUUGCCAUUCUGUGAUUCGAGUUUGUCAGAGAAAAAGUUUGCUUUUUUUGGCCCCCCAAAGGAAUAUACUUGCUCUCCAAUCUCUUCUUUCCCUCCAACUUCACUCUCUUGAACUCUUCCUUUUCAUGCUUUAAGUUAAAGAUUCUGCAACCCUUUUUGCUGCCAUUGUGUGUUUCUGGUGGCAAUGUGCCAAAGAAGCAUGAAGCUGCUGAGGAUGUUUGUGUUUGUGGGGUUGGUGAUUGUGAAAUGGGUGGAAGGCUUUGAGGAUGCUAAUGUGACAGACCUUGACAUGCAAUAUGUCAGUGGAAGAGGUUUCUACAGACCUUUGAUGGUUGGUUUUACUCUUAUUAAUGGCGCUGCUGCUAAAGGAGCUGUUUGCCUGGAUGGAUCUUUACCGGGGUACCAUUUCCACCGUGGAUAUGGUUCAGGAUCAAACAGUUGGCUCAUACAAUUGGAGGGAGGAGGCUGGUGUGGAACUAUAAAAAAUUGUCUUUAUAGUAAGAAAACACGUCAUGGUUCAUCAUUUUUUAUGGAAAAACAAAUACCAUUUAUUGGGAUAUUGAGCAACAAAGCUGAGGAAAAUCCAGAUUUUUUCAAUUGGAAUAGAAUAAAAAUCCGUUAUUGCGACGGUGCAUCAUUUAGUGGGGACAGUCAAAAUGCGGGAGCAGGGUUAUAUUUCAGAGGGCAACGCAUUUGGCAAGCUGCUAUGGAAGAUUUAAUGUCAAAAGGGAUGCGCUAUGCCAAACAGGCUCUUCUAUCUGGAUGUUCUGCUGGAGGUUUAGCUACUAUUAUACAUUGUGAUGAAUUUCGGGAAUUGUUUACUAGAACCACAAGAGUAAAAUGCUUAAGUGAUGCUGGAUUAUUCCUUGAUUCCGUUGAUGUAUCUGGUCGUCGCAGCUUAAGGAAUUUGUUUGGAAGUGUGGUCACCUUACAGGGAGUGCAAAGGAGUCUUCCAAGGAGUUGUACCAGUCGCCUCAAUCCAAUUUUGUGCUAUUUUCCUCAGCACUUAAUUGCCGGUGUCAGGACACCAUUAUUUCUUCUCAAUGCAGCUUAUGAUACUUGGCAGAUUCAAGCCAGUCUUGCUCCACCAUCUGCUGACUACCAUUGGAACUGGUAUGAAUGCAGAAAAAAUUAUGCACGUUGCAGUGCACCACAGAUACAGUAUCUUCAAGGUUUUCGAAAUCAGAUGCUUAGAUCUACAAGAGCCUUCUCACGGUCUUAUAAAAAUGGGUUAUUCAUAAAUUCAUGUUUCGCCCAUUGCCAAUCAGAAAGACAGGAUACAUGGUUUGCUCAUGAUUCCCCUCGUAUUGGAAAUAGGGGGAUCGCGGAGUCGGUUGGGAACUGGUAUUUUGGCCGAGUUAGUGUCCAGGCUAUUGGCUGUCCUUACCCUUGUGACAAAACCUGCCAUAAUUUGAUCAUUGUUUUUGUCAAGUGGUGAUACAAGCUUUGUGAAAACUAAAAUAGUACAACGAAGGUAAUGCUAGUUCACAUAUUGGACACGCAUGAAAUUAGAUGUAGUGAAUGGUUCAUUACUACAUUUCAUCUUCCUUAGUGCCACACCAUGGUCCUCAAGGAAACCUUCUGUGCUACAUGCACAUGGAAGAUUGUUACAUUUGUCUAGAAGAAUUACAUGAACAUAUAUCUGCAAGAAUGCCUAGCUUAAGUGGCUUUAAGGACAUUCAUAGGGGCUCAUUGUUGGCAGUGCUGACUUACUAUUACUACACUUCAUGAUUUAUUGGUCUGGUAGAGAAGUGGUAACCUAAUAUUUGAUGCGUUGAUGCAUUAAAUAUAUCGUAACCAAAGUUUGGGUUUUCCUGUAGGAGUUAUCAGAUGCUGGAAGCUACAUUUUGUUUCUUCAUUGAUGGGCUUUAAUAUAAUUUUGCUUAUAAAAAAAUAUUAUUUAUUUUAAUUUAAAAUAAUUAAAACAGAAAAGAAAACUUGACAGAUUUUGAAA